AUGAGCAGGAAAAGGGGUUUAAGGGAAAAAGAAUGGAGAAACGAGAAACAAGAGGAAAAUGAGCAGGAAAAGGGGUUGAAGGGAAAAAGAAUGGAGAAACAAGAGGAAAAUGAGCAGGAAAAGGGGUUGAAGGGAAAAAGAAUGGAGAAACAAGAGGAAAAUGAGCAGGAAAAGGGGUUGAAGGGAAAAAGAAUGGAGAAACAAGAGGAAAAUGAGCAGGAAAAGGGGUUGAAGGGAAAAAGAAUGGAGAAACAAGAGGAAAAUGAGCAGGAAAAGGGGUUGAAGGGAAAAAGAAUGGAGAAACAAGAGGAAAAUGAGCAGGAAAAGGGGUUGAAGGGAAAAAGAAUGGAGAAACAAGUAAUGAAGAAACAAGAGGAAAAUGAGCAGGAAAAGGGAUUGAAGGGAAAAAGGGGGAAGAAACAGGAGGAAAACAAGCAGGAAAAGGGAUUGAAGGGAAAAAGGGGGAACAAACAGGAGGAAAAUAAGCAGGAAAAGGGAUUGAAGAGAAAAAGAGGGAGGAAGGAUAAAUUGGAGGAUUUGAUGGAUGGCAUUGAGGAAGAGGAGGGGGAUGAGGGCAGGAAUUGGGAAGGGGGACAGGGAAGAGCCAAAAAACAGAGAAGAAACAGCAGCCAGGGCUGGGAUGAUGGGGGAAAAAAGCAGGAGAAAGGAAAAGCCAAGAAACACGUGAAGGGGGUGGAAAAGGUGGGGAAGAGGAAAAUAAAGAAGGAAAAAUUGCUGGAAGAGGAGCAAGAGAUGGAGAAAGGGGAGGAGGGAGAGAAAGGGGUGGGAAAGGAAAGUGGAGAUGGAAAAGGAAUAAAGGAGGAGGAAGGGGUGGAUGAGAAAGAGGAGGAAGGAUUGGGGGAGAGUGGGAGUGCAGGGAUGGGGCAGGAGGUGAAGGAGGAGGAUGAAGGGAAGGGAGAUGUUCCAGUGAAAGAGAAAAAGCAGAAAAAGAAGAAGAAGAAGAAGAAAAAGCCAGAGGGGGACACGAAAGAGACAGAGAAAAAGAGUGAAGAGGAUGAAACCCCAGGGAAAACUGAGGAAAGGAAAUCCAAGGAGGGAGAAGAAAAGAAGAAGGAAAAGAACAAUAAAAAGACCAAAAAACAGAAGGAAGAAGAAAAAGAGGCAGAAAAGAAAUGGAAAUGGUAA
rnacentral:lncRNA from 1 species